rnacentral:rRNA from 1 species
CGGUUUAAUUGGAUUCAACGCCGGAAAUCUCACCGGGGCGACAGCAAUAUGAAGGUCAGGCUGAAGACCUUACCCGAUUAGCUGAGAGGUGGUGCAUGGCCGUCGUCAGUUCGUACUGUGAAGCAUCCUGUUAAGUCAGGCAACGAGCGAGACCCACGUCCACAGUUGCCAGCAUACCCUCCGGGGUGAUGGGUACACUGUGGAGACCGCCGCUGCUAAAGCGGAGGAAGGAGUGGGCAACGGUAGGUCAGUAUGCCCCGAAUCUCCCGGGCUACACGCGGGCUACAAUGGUUGGUACAAUGGGCAUCUACCCCGAAAGGGGAAGGAAAUCUCUUAAAGCCAAUCGUAGUUCGGAUUGAGGGCUGCAACUCGCCCUCAUGAAGCUGGAAUCCGUAGUAAUCGCGUUUCAACAGAACGCGGUGAAUACGUCCCUGCUCCUU